GUUUAAAUAGCAAAAUAGUAAUGCACUAGAUUUAGGUUCUAACACCAAAGGUGCAAAUCCUUUUUUAAACU
rnacentral:tRNA from 1 species